rnacentral:rRNA from 1 species
UACGGAGGGUGCAAGCGUUAUCCGGAUUUACUGGGUUUAAAGGGUGCGCAGGCGGAUAUGUAAGUCAGUGGUGAAAUCUCCGGGCUUAACCCGGAAACUGCCGUUGAUACUAUAUAUCUUGAAUGCUGUGGAGGUAAGCAGAAUAUGUCAUGUAGCGGUGAAAUGCUUAGAUAUGACAUAGAAUACCUAUUGCGAAGGCAGCUUACUACACAGAUAUUGACGCUCAUGCACGAAAGCGUGGGGAUCAAACAGG